GACGAACGCUGGCGGCGUGCCUAAUACAUGCAAGUCGAACGAAGCUGUUUUAAUUGGUGCUUGCACCGACUUAAACAACUGAGUGGCGAACGGGUGAGUAACACGUGGGUAACCUGCCCCAAAGCGGGGAAAACAUUUGGAAACAGAUGCUAAUACCGCAUAACCACAGAAACCACAUGGUUCAUGUGUCAAAGAUGGUUUAGGAUAUCACUUUGGGAAGGACCCGUGGCGUAUUAGCUAGUUGGUAAGGUAAUGGCUUACCAAGGCAAUGAUACGUAGACGAACUGAGAGGUUGAUCGGCCACAUUGGGACUGAGACACGGCCCAAACUCCUACGGGAGGCAGCAGUAGGGAAUCUUCCACAAUGGACGAAAGUCUGAUGGAGCAACGCCGCGUGAGUGAAGAAGGUUUUCGGAUCGUAAAACUCUGUUGUCAGAGAAGAACGUGUGCGAGAGUAACUGUUCGUGCAGUGACGGUAUCUGGCCAGAAAGCCACGGCUAACUACGUGCCAGCCGCCGCGGUAA
rnacentral:rRNA from 1 species